GUGAGUAACACGUGAGUAAUCUGCCCCAGGCUCUGGGAUAGCCACCGGAAACGGUGAUUAAUACCGGAUACGACAACCGAUCACAUGAUCUGGUUGUGGAAAGUUUUUCGGCCUGGGAUGUGCUCGCGGCCUAUCAGCUUGUUGGUGAGGUAAUGGCUCACCAAGGCUUCGACGGGUAGCCGGCCUGAGAGGGUGACCGGCCACACUGGGACUGAGACACGGCCCAGACUCCUACGGGAGGCAGCAGUGGGGAAUAUUGGACAAUGGGCGGAAGCCUGAUCCAGCAACGCCGCGUGAGGGAUGACGGCCUUCGGGUUGUAAACCUCUUUCAGCACAGACGAAGCGCAAGUGACGGUAUGUGCAGAAGAAGGACCGGCCAACUACGUGCCAGCAGCCGCGGUAAUACGUAGGGUCCGAGCGUUGUCCGGAAUUAUUGGGCGUAAAGGGCUCGUAGGCGGUCUGUCGCGUCGGGAGUGAAAACCAGGUGCUUAACACCUGGCCUGCUUUCGAUACGGGCAGACUAGAGGUAUUCAGGGGAGAAUGGAAUUCCUGGUGUAGCGGUGAAAUGCGCAGAUAUCAGGAGGAACACCGGUGGCGAAGGCGGUUCUCUGGGAAUUACCUGACGCUGAGGAGCGAAAGUGUGGGGAGCGAACAGGAUUAGAUACCCUGGUAGUCCACACCGUAAACGUUG
rnacentral:rRNA from 1 species